GUGCCAGCAGCCGCGGUAAUACGUAGGGCGCAAGCGUUGUCCGGAAUUAUUGGGCGUAAAGAGCUCGUAGGCGGUUUGUCGCGUCUGCUGUGGAAAACGCGGGGCUUAACCCUGCGCCUGCAGUGGGUACGGGCAGACUUGAGUGCGGUAGGGGAGACUGGAAUUCCUGGUGUAGCGGUGGAAUGCGCAGAUAUCAGGAGGAACACCGGUGGCGAAGGCGGGUCUCUGGGCCGUUACUGACGCUGAGGAGCGAAAGCAUGGGGAGCGAACAGGAUUAGAUACCCUGGUAGUCC
rnacentral:rRNA from 1 species